rnacentral:rRNA from 1 species
UACAUAGGGGGCAAGCGUUGUCCGGAAUCAUUGGGCGUAAAGCGCGUGUAGGCGGUCCGGUAAGUCCGCUGUGAAAGUCGGGGGCUCAACCCUCGGAUGCCGGUGGAUACUGUCGGGCUUGAGUACGGAAGAGGCGAGUGGAAUUCCUGGUGUAGCGGUGAAAUGCGCAGAUAUCAGGAGGAACACCAAUUGCGAAGGCAGCUCGCUGGGACGUUACUGACGCUGAGACGCGAAAGCGUGGGGAGCAAACAGG